GUGAGUCUUACAAUGGGAAGAUGGGGGAGGCAGCACACUGGGGUCAGGAGUGGAGAUACUUAGGCUCCCCAGAGAAAUUAGUCACAAGUCUUAUCCCUUCAUCUCCAUUUACAGCCAUUUAUUUGGGAGCAACAUACUUUAAAUGAGUGAUAAACAAAGUGUCUCCCCACAGCCCCCACCCCAGCAUGUGUUCUGAAGUUCACAGGAAGGCUUCUCCUCAUUUGCUUUGGGGCCCGCAGGCUGCCUGCUAACAGCUGGGUCUUCCCAUGAACAAAUUAGACAGUUAAUGUUCCAGGAUGAAGAGGGCUUCGGGGAACAGAAUCUGCCGUUUAUUUGACUUGCUUCAUUAGACACAGUGCCAUCAUACCAAAAUUAGAAAAAAGAAGGAACUCAGCGGAAAUCAGCUACACAAGAACCUCUCAGUUCUGAGAAUUCACAUUAACCAGUGAUUAAGAAAUAUUAAAAAGGGCUGAUAGUCCACUACGUUAUCAAGUUCAAAGCCUAAGAAAUAUUGAACAUUUCCACACAUGAAUGUGGGUACUAUGUUUAAUUUGAGAAUGGCCAACUGUCCUCGAAGUCUCAAUCUCUUUGGAGCCUACCAGCUCCGAGAGAAGUUUGAGGAUGCUGCAAAACCCUCCCCUGCAAAUCCAUCUACUCCUCCCACUUCUAUCCUAAUGGGUGUAGUUCUUGGCUGUGCUGAGGAUCUGUAAGGCACCAGAUGUGAAAGUAAGGAAGAAAGAUGGAUGUGGAAGUAAGUCACUGCCCAGAGAAUAAGGAGACCUGGAUUCUAAUCUCAGCUCUGCCAUUAACUAGCUGUGAGACUCAAGAAUAACUAAUCAUUUUGAUAACUCGUUUUUUACUUUUUAAAAUGAGGAGCCAAGUUUAGACAAUGAGCUCGGCUCUUCACCAGUGAUAAAGUGUCUGGGACAUGCUUCCAUUCAAGCAAUGCUCUUCCUUCUUGAUGAAACUAGGGCUCAAAAGGGAAUAAGAGAUCAAGGCAAGCAUGGACAUCUUGUAUGUGGAAGUGCAGACCAGAACUUGUAUCACAGCCAGUCAUAUCCGGUGCUUUCCAUGCUACUUUUACAUACAUGUAUCUUUAAAUUUGAUCCUCUUCUAGUUUAGUCUAAACUCUUUACUUUCUAACUUCCAAACCUAAAAGGUGCAGCAGACAUUGACAAUCUUAA